GGCUGUGCAAUGGUGCAGUUGGUAGCACUGUUGCCUUGCAGUGAGAAGGUCCUGGGUUCAAAUCCCAGCCCCGGGUCU